rnacentral:lncRNA from 1 species
CACAAGCAUAGUUAAAGAAUUGUCAUCUGUUAUGAAGAAUCUUAAAAUUUUUUUUUAGGCCGUUUGCUUUUAUCUUUUGUUUUACUUAGCGGCGGUGUCAACCUUCGGGUUGGUUAUCGCCCGUCUUUUUCCUCACCAAUUAACCUUUUUUUUUUCUUCUUCUCAUUCAUUAUACAUGUCUUUUCUCUUUUCGAUUUGCAGAUCUAUUUUGUGGGUAUAUUUGUUGUCUUCACAAGUUAUGAUGGACAGAUGAUAGUGCAUAUCGUUCGCUAAAACUCCACCGACC